UACGUAAGUCGCAAGCGUUGUCCGGAUUUACUGGGCGUAAAGCGUGCGCAGGCGGUGAUGUAAGACAGGUGUGAAAUCCCCGGGCUUAACCUGGGAACUGCAUUUGUGACUGCAUCGCUGGAGUGCGGCAGAGGGGGAUGGAAUUCCGCGUGUAGCAGUGAAAUGCGUAGAUAUGCGGAGGAACACCGAUGGCGAAGGCAAUCCCCUGGGCCUGCACUGACGCUCAUGCACGAAAGCGUGGGGAGCAAACAGG
rnacentral:rRNA from 1 species